CUCGGUCGAUGAUCAUCGCGGCUCAACCAUCCGCUCCGUUGCUCUCCGACUGCUCUCUCUCUCUCCGGGAGGACGAAAAUAGAAUUGUAAUAUUCAUUCACAAGAAAGAAAAAAAGAAGGAAAACUCGACCCGUAAAGAUGCCCCAUCCUAAGAUUUCCCACACGCUGCCCAUACCCGGGAAAGUAUUAGCGGCGCUCCUGUGCAUGGAAAGGCUGGUAGACUUUUCUUCUUGGCUUUCUGUCCCCGUACCUUGCCUCUGUAGGGAAAAUCUACUGGCGUUGCUGCUGCUGCUGCUGCUGCUGCCGCCGGUGCUGUUGGGAUGACUCAGACCGUAUAUGGUUGCGGGAGUAAAACCGAUUUUCCACUGUCCCUCCAGACCUACCCUCCAUUUAGCCUUGCGCCUGCCCUUCCGCCUGUGAGUCCGAGCUCAGCAGCAUAACAACAUGUGCACACGCAUCGUUCACGAAGCCGGCAUGCGCAGCCGCGAACCGUUUGUGUUAGUGCGCGCGUAAUGCUCCAUAAAUGAAUCUUUUUUUUCUUCUCUCUCUUUUCCUUCUCCGGCCUCCGUAGUAAUUUUGGGCGUACAUGCGCUGCUGUGUGCGUGUGCAACAGAAUAACUGCGGGGGUGUCAGCGUUCGGGUCAGAGCAGUCUUGGGAGGUAGCCGUGCAUGUGUGAGUGUGGGUUCGAAGAUGCCAAGGCAUAAUGUAUGUCCUUAAGGACCGGUGCGAAGUGCGGAGGAUACGGAGGGUAUUGGAAGGCAAAUCGAAACGGAAAAAAAUACACAACCUGCAAACCCCUGGGAUCGUUACACAAGUGUUGGUAAGCAGAUUCCCCGGUUCGUGUGUUGCGAGUGUGAAAAAAUCAAACAAAGAAUCCGUUCGUUACCUUAAAUGCCCACCAGAACACAACCCGUGAGCCAGACGCGUGGUUAGGACGGUUAGGACGCUAUGGCAAAUUUCUUUUAUUUUUGCUGCCCUGGUCAUUCCUGGGGUGAGCUGCCUUUUCACUCAUCGCAACAACAAGCUCCCUCCCCAUUUCCCAUUGUCCCCUUCCCUCGAUGUAUACGAAUGUUUUCCACCACACUUUUCUUCCACAAAAAUUCCACGGCUAUCCACGGAACCGCGCAAACCAGAGAGCCAGAGAAAAUGGUCCAACGUUUGCUUCUCAGUGUACGAAGGCAGGUGAAGUGUAGAAUGAACGGCCAAAAAAAACUGAGACGGAAAAUAUGAUGAAAGGUGGUUUCCCGAGACAAGACUCGGCCAGUAUUCGGACACAACAAUCCAUCGCGACUUAUUUGGCGCGACAACAUGCCGGCUCGAGUGUUUGCCAUAGCGAAGAUAACAUUUUAUUUGGCAUACAAUAGAGUAGAAUUGGUAUAUUUUUAUUUUAAACAUAAAGAUUCUAUUUUCAUGAUAAAGUUACGUUUUGUCAAUUACGUACUUAUCUUUAGUAAGAUGUUAUGUAUAAGUGCUCUGCUUUUCAAUCAUCAAGAAUUCACCUUCGAGAGGCAAAGUAUACAUAAAAAUUAUAAGAAACCCUAAGUCAACUACAAUUAUGUCGUAGCUGAUCAGUUAAACAUAAAAAAAACAACAUUUCUAUUGUAGCUUUCUGAUUUCACUGACAUGUAUAAAAGUUAGCUAAAGUAAUGAAAUAAUAAGUAUAUUCAUUCUUGAGCGUUA